GGAGCUGUGCCUGAAUUAAAGGACCACUUUGAUAGAGUGAAUCAUGAAGGUUAAAGCCCUUCCCGCUCCU
rnacentral:tRNA from 1 species